GCAGCCGCGGUAAUACGGGGGAUGCAAGCGUUAUCCGGAUUUAUUGGGUUUAAAGGGUGCGUAGGCGGUCUGUUAAGUCAGCGGUGAAAUUUAGGGGCUCAACCUCUACCGUGCCGUUGAUACUGGCAGUCUAGAAUGCGGAUGCCGUGGGAGGAAUGUGUGGUGUAGCGGUGAAAUGCAUAGAUAUCACACAGAACACCGAUUGCGAAGGCAUCUCACGAAUCCGCGAUUGACGCUGAGGCACGAAAGCGUGGGGAUCAAACAGGAUUAGAUACCCC
rnacentral:rRNA from 1 species